GUCCAGCCGUUGGCGCUCGUCGAGACCGGCCGAGCGCGGCCAAAAGACAAAUGCGUCGAGGGUGCGCACAGCGGCGACACGGGUCUUGUCGAGCGGGCCGACGUCGCGCUCCGACGUCGGCAUGUAGUCGCGAAUCUCGGUGACUGUCAUGACGGGCAGUCGACCUCGCCACUGGCGGGGCUCGUGGGGAAAGGCAUAUCCGAGUGGCGGUUCUUUAUUUCGCGGACCUACGGCGAGAAUGUGCCACGGGCCGUCGAUCGUGCGCCCGGCCAGCGCAGGGUCGACCGCGGUGGUCGUCGUUGAUGACGAAAAGAUAAAGCGCGUGAUCACUUCAGGGAUCCACCCGUUGGCGUCGAUGGAACGCGGCCGACGGCAGUGGAUCAUGUCGCCGUUGGGAUAGGUGACGCAGAUGUCGAGCAAAGGAUCUGACGAUCCAAAGUCUCCGCUGAUCGUCGUUCCGUCGUCUAGGUAGACCGUGCCUCUGCCAAGCGCUCUGUAGCAAUCCAGCACUUUUCCGUCAUAGACAACGACACCAGAGGGGCCAAACAAGAGCCCCUUGUCGGCACUGCCAGACUUGUCGCAGAGACCCUUGAACGCCACCGAGCCGUCGCUGCGGUUGACGAUGCUGGGGAGGAGGCUACCGCGGUGGUCCGGAUUCGGCGCUCGGUGGACAAUGUGCCGCGCAAAGAUGCGCUUGAUGGCGGGCCAACGAAGAAAGCCGUCCGCCCAUUGGCCCUCGUAUGCGCCAUGUGGUGUGAUCAGCAGGCCGUGGCCGUGGGCGCGCCCUCUGAGACAAUCGCCUUCAUAGUAUUCCGUGCCGCCAUACUUGGCGGCCCACACGCGCACCCGACCGUUGGGCAUGCCGCGCUCCCACUCGCCGAUGAUUCUGCACACAACACCGGCACCCGAGUCCUUGACGGUGACAGACUCGCCGCGUCCAUGGGGCUGGGGGCGGUCGCCAAGAACUAUGCCGCCCAGGUAGGUUGUACGCAUGCCGGACCCUUUGCGUGUCGUCAUCGGUGGCAAUUCAGAGGUUGAAAUUGCAAAGGGCGAGAGGACAAAGUCGUGGAUCUUGGCGACGGCGCAUGGCGGCACGUCGGGCCAGCGGGCAAAACAACGAGAGCGCCCCAAAGGCGCCAGAUGGACCGCGUACGCCCAGCGAUGAUCCUCUGUGUCCAGACGCGUAACACCGAUAUGCAGGCCAUCGGCCAGCACACGAUUCCACGCACGCAACGGCUCCGACGCAUCGGUCGGGUCGGCGAGCCAUGCGCGCGCACACGCGAUGGUUUUGUUGUGCGCGGCGGUCUGCUCCAGACUCACGGUGCAAGCGACCUGCUCUUUAUAAAAGCGUCGCCACAGUCGGUCGUCGAGGCAUACCAGCCGCGUGCGGUGGUCCACACAACCCAGCGAGGCCACCGAGGCGAUAUCCAAAAAGGAAGCCACGUGCAAGAGGAUUUCGUCGGCGAGGUCGUCCCACCCAAUCGCCGCCCGGCGCUGGCGCUUUUGUCGAUGAGUCGGAAUGUCAGAGUCUGCCGUGCGCAUUUGGUCUAGGCUGGGCGGACGUAAAGGAUCACGUCCCGCUGCCCUGCCUUCCUGUCGUCCAUGCAAAAAGAGCGCCCAUUCGUCACUUUUCUUUUUCUUUUUUUUUGUUU
rnacentral:lncRNA from 1 species